UACGUAGGGUGCGAGCGUUGUCCGGAAUUAUUGGGCGUAAAGGGCGCGUAGGCGGUUUGUCGCGUCGGGAGUGAAAACACUGGGCUUAACUCAGUGCUUGCUUCCGAUACUGGCAGACUAGAGGUAUGCAGGGGAGAGCGGAAUUCCUGGUGUAGCGGUGAAAUGCGCAGAUAUCUGGAGGAACACCGGUGGCGAAGGCGGCACCCUGGGCCGACACUGACGCUGAGGAGCGAAAGCCUGGGGAGCAAACGGG
rnacentral:rRNA from 1 species